UGGGGAAUCUUGCGCAAUGGACGAAAGUCUGACGCAGCCACGCCGCGUGAGUGAAGAAGGCCUUCGGGUUGUAAAGCUCUGUCGGAUGGGACGAAAACCCUUAGGAAUAAUACCCUAAGGCUUGACGGUACCAUCAAAGGAAGCACCGGCUAACUUCGUGCCAGCAGCCGCGGUAAUACGAGGGGUGCAAGCGUUGCUCGGAAUCAUUGGGCGUAAAGGGCAGGUAGGUGGUCUGAUUAGUCUAGGGUGAAAGCCUUGAGCUCAACUCAAGAAGUGCCUUAGAAACGGUCAGACUAGAGUUCUGGAGGGGGUCGUGGAAUUCCCGGUGUAGCGGUGAAAUGCGUAGAGAUCGGGAGGAACACCAGAGGCGAAGGCGACGACCUGGACAGAUACUGACACU
rnacentral:rRNA from 1 species